GACGAACGCUGGCGGCGUGCCUAAUACAUGCAAGUGGGACGCAAGGAAACACACUGUGCUUGCACACCGUGUUUUCUUGAGUCGCGAACGGGUGAGUAACGCGUAGGUAACCUGCCUAUUAGCGGGGGAUAACUAUUGGAAACGAUAGCUAAUACCGCAUAAUAUUAAUUAUUGCAUGAUAAUUGAUUGAAAGAUGCAAGCGCAUCACUAGUAGAUGGACCUGCGUUGUAUUAGCUAGUUGGUAAGGUAAGAGCUUACCAAGGCGACGAUACAUAGCCGACCUGAGAGGGUGAUCGGCCACACUGGGACUGAGACACGGCCCAGACCCCUACGGGAGGCAGCAGUAGGGAAUCUUCGGCAAUGGACGAAAGUCUGACCGAGCAACGCCGCGUGAGUGAAGAAGGUUUUCGGAUCGUAAAGCUCUGUUGUAAGUCAAGAACGUGUGUGAGAGUGGC
rnacentral:rRNA from 1 species